CCCUGGCACAACUGUCAGGGCUGAGGUAUCCAGCUCUGCAUCAUGGACACGAAUGACCUCUAGACCAGAGUCCUCGGAAUGAGGCAAAAGGGAGAGAUGGGAGCCCUGUGCUUCCAGAGCCUGCCUGAGCAAUGGUGGCAAGAUGAAUCAACCCCACCUCUGUCCUUCCCGUCAUCAUAAGGGUGCCCAGGGACAGG